rnacentral:rRNA from 1 species
GACAGAGGCCUCAAGCGUUAGGCGGAAUCACUGGGCUUAAAGCGUGUGUAGGCGGAUCGUUAAGUGCCUUGUGAAAUCCCACGGCUUAACUGUGGAACGGCUGGGCAUACUGGCGGUCUUGAGCCAUCUAGGGGCGACUGGAACAAACGGUGGAGCGGUGAAAUGCGUAGAUAUCGUUUGGAACGCCAAUGGUGAAAACAGGUCGCUGGGGAUGAGCUGACGCUGAGGCGCGAAAGCCAGGGGAGCGAACGGG